rnacentral:rRNA from 1 species
AGUCGAACGCUUGUUUAGAGUAGCAAUAUUCUUAAGCAGGAGUGGCGCAAGGGUGCGUAACACGUGGGUAAUUUGCCAUGAAGUUGGGGAUAACUUGCUGAAAGGCGAGCUAAUACCGAAUGUGGUUUUUGGAAGGCAUCUUCUGGAGACUGAAGUUGGGGACUGUAACAGGCCUGACGCUUCAUGAUAAGCCCGCGGCCUAUCAGCUAGUUGGUGAGGUAACGGCUCACCAAGGCUAAGACGGGUAGCUGGUCUGAGAGGACGACCAGCCACACUGGAACUGAGACACGGUCCAGACACCUACGGGUGGCAGCAGUCGAGAAUUUUUCUCAAUGGGCGCAAGCCUGAAGGAGCGACGCCGCGUGGGGGAUGAAGGGUUUCGACCCGUAAACCCCUGUCAUUUGUGAACAAUGCUCAUUAUUUAAAAGAUGAUGAGUUGAUAGUAGCGGAAGAGGAAGGGACGGCUAACUCUGUGCCAGCAGCCGCGGUAAUACAGAGGUCCCGAGCGUUGUUCGGAUUCACUGGGCGUAAAGGGUGCGUAGGUGGUGAUGCAAGUUUGAUGUGAAAGCCUCGAGCUCAACUCGGGAAUGGCAUUGAAUACUGCGUUGCUUGAGGUUUGGAGGGGGGACUGGAAUUCUCGGUGUAGCAGUGAAAUGCGUAGAUAUCGAGAGGAACACCAGUGGCGAAGGCGAGUCCCUGGACAACACCUGACACUGAGGCACGAAAGCUAGGGGAGCAAACAGGAUUAGAUACCCUGGUAGUCCUAGCUGUAAACGGUGCACGUUUGCUGUAAGAGGAAUCGACCCCUUUUGUGGCGAAGCUAACGCGAUAAACGUGCCGCCUGGGAAGUACGGUCGCAAGAUUAAAACUCAAAGAAAUUGACGGGGCCUGCACAAGCGGUGGAGUAUGUGGCUUAAUUCGAUGCAACGCGAAGAACCUUACCUGGCCUUGACAUGCAUGUGGUAGGACCAUGAAAGUGGACGACCCCGCAAGGGGAGCAUGCACAGUGCUGCAUGCCUGUCGUCAGCUCGUGUCGUGAGAUGUUGGGUUAAGUCCCGCAACGAGCGCAAGCCUGGUGUC